CAAAAUAGGGUUUUAUGCGUUAAGUGUUCAGUGGAUGGGGAGUUGCCGCAGAAACGAAAAACGCUGGUAUUUAAAGAUAAGUCCGGCUGUUUACGAUAUAAGACUCGCACCCGUUG
rnacentral:ncRNA from 1 species